UGGUUAUAGAGAGAUGUAGGUUUGGUAGAGUCUGUCCCUGGUUAUAGAGAGAUGUAGGUUUGGUAGAGUCUGUCCCUGGUUAUAGAGAGAUGUAGGUUUGGUAGAGUCUGUCCCUGGUUAUAGAGAGAUGUAGGUUUGGUAGAGUCUGUCCCUGGUUAUAGAGAGAUGUAGGUUUGGUAGAGUCUGUCCCUGGUUAUAGAGAUAUGUAGGUUUGGUAGAGUCUGUCCCUGGUUAUAGAGAGAUGUAGGUUUGGUAGAGUCUGUCCCUGGUUAUAGAGAGAUGUAGGUUUGGUAGAGUCUGUCCCUGGUUAUAGAGAGAUGUAGGUUUGGUAGAGUCUGUCCCUGGUUAUAG